AAUAUUGGACAAUGGGCGCAAGCCUGACCCAGCCAUGCCGUGUGUGUGGAGAAGGUCUUCGGAUUGGAAAGCACAUUAAUUUGGGCGGAAGGGCAGCUAACGAAUACUUAACUGUUUUGACGUCACCAAUAGAAUAAACACCGGCUAACAUCGUGCCGGCAGCCGCGGUAAUACGAAGGGUGCAAGCGUUAAUCGGAAUUACUGGGCGUAAAGCGCGCGUAGGUGGUUCGUUAAGUUGGAAGUGAAAGCCCCGGGCUCAACCUGGGAAUUGCUUUCAAAACUGGCGGGCUAGAGUACGGUAGAGGGUGGUGGAAUUUCCGGUGUAGCGGUGAAAUGCGUAGAUAUAGGAAGGAACAUCAGUGGCGAAGGCGACCACCUGGACUGAUACUGACACUGAGGUGCGAAAGCGUGGGGAGCAAACAGG
rnacentral:rRNA from 1 species